AGCUGUGGGGAAUACCAGCUCGAAUUAGGCGUGUGUAUCCUCCUUGUGAUACUUCUGGGCUUCAGGUGCUUCCGCUGGAAAAGUCAAUGAAGCCUCCGAAGAUAGUAUCUGUCGCUCAGUUCCGUCCAGAGAAGGCACACCCGCUUCAACUUGAGGCGUUUGCAGUUGCCAUAAAAAAGUUAGACCAAGAUUUGCCAAGGCCGAAAAUCCAACUAGUGGGUAGUUGUAGGAAUGAAG
rnacentral:misc_RNA from 1 species